AUCCAGAUGACGAGUCCCAAAUAGGAUGAUAUACGCAUCCUGGAU
rnacentral:hammerhead_ribozyme from 1 species